rnacentral:rRNA from 1 species
GGGGACAACAUUUCCGAAAGGAAUGCUAAUACCGCAUACGUCCUACGGGAGAAAGCAGGGGAUCUUCGGACCUUGCGCUAAUAGAUGAGCCUAAGUCGGAUUAGCUAGUUGGUGAGGUAAAGGCCUACCAAGGCGACGAUCUGUAGCGGGUCUGAGAGGAUGAUCCGUCACACUGGGACUGAGACACGGUCCAGACUCCUACGGGAGGCAGCAGUGGGGAAUAUUGGACAAUGGGCGCAAGCCUGAUCCAGCCAUGCCGCGUGUGUGAAGAAGGCCUUAUGGUUGUAAAGCACUUUAAGCGAGGAGGAGACUACUUUAGAUUAAUACCUAGAGAUAGUGGACGUUACUCGCAGAAUAAGCACCGGCUAACUCUGUGCCAGCAGCCGCGGUAAUACAGAGGGUGCAAGCGUUAAUCGGAUUUACUGGGCGUAAAGCGCGCGUAGGCGGCUAAUUAAGUCAAAUGUGAAAUCCCCGAGCUCAACUUGGGAAUUGCAUUCGAUACUGGUUAGCUAGAGUGUGGGAGAGGAUGGUAGAAUUCCAGGUGUAGCGGUGAAAUGCGUAGAGAUCUGGAGGAACACCGAUGGCGAAGGCAGCCAUCUGGCCUAACACUGACGCUGAGGUGCGAAAGCAUGGGGAGCAAACAGGAUUAGAUACCCUGGUAGUCCAUGCCGUAAACGAUGUCUACUAGCCGUUGGGGCCUUUGAGGCUUUAGUGGCGCAGCUAACGCGAUAAGUAGACCGCCUGGGGAGUACGGUCGCAAGACUAAAACUCAAAUGAAUUGACGGGGGCCCGCACAAGCGGUGGAGCAUGUGGUUUAAUUCGAUGCAACGCGAAGAACCUUACCUGGCCUUGACAUAGUAAGAACUUUCCAGAGAUGGAUUGGUGCCUUCGGGAACUUACAUACAGGUGCUGCAUGGCUGUCGUCAGCUCGUGUCGUGAGAUGUUGG